AUUUUUAACCUGAUUUUUGUGACAAAAAUGUCGGUUAUUGAUUUGGGGAUGUACGGCGGGCGGGCGGGCGGGCGGGCAGUCGGGCCGGCGGGCGUUCGGCAAUCAAAUGUUGUCCGUGCAUUAACUCAUGAACCGUUCAACCAAAGCUUUUAAAAUUUUAAUAUGUUGUUACUGACAACUAAAUGAAGGUCAAGUUCAAUAAUAACGAUUUUGACUUUACCGUUCAGGAGUUAUGGUUCUUGAAAGAUUGAAAAAUGGUUUUUCCAGUCGUGUCCGUGCAUUUAAGCAUGAACUGUUCUACCAAAGCUUCCCAAAUUUUAAUAUGUUGUUACUGAUGACAAAAUGGAGGUCAAGUUCAAUAAUGACGAUUUUGACUUUUACCGUUCAGGAGUUAUGGUUCUUGAAAGAUUGAAAAAUGGAGUUUCCAGUCGUGUCCAUGUAUUUACACAUGAACUGUUCUACCAAAGUUUCCCAAAUUUUAAUAUGUUGUUACUGAUGACAAAAUGGAGGUCAGGUUCAAUAAUGACGAUUUUGACUUUUACCGUUCAGGAGUUAUGGUUCUUGAAAGAUUGAAAAUGGUGUUUCCAGUCGUGUCCGUGCAUUUUCUCAUGAACCAUUCAACCAAAUCUUUUGAAAUUUUUAUAUGUUAUUACUGAUGACAAAAUAGAGGUC
rnacentral:lncRNA from 1 species